UGUGGGAUGGUGUGGAGUGCACGAAAAGAUUUGGGUUUUUAGGAGAGGGUUCGAACCCUCUCCCACAA
rnacentral:tRNA from 1 species